UAAGACGUAGGGUCCAAGCGUUGUCCGGAUUUACUGGGCGUAAAGAGCGCGUAGGCGGCCUGUUAAGUGUGAAGUGAAAUCUCCAGAGCUCAACUCGGAAACUGCUUCGCAUACUGGCAGGCUUGAGGAAUGCAGAGGUAAGUAGAAUUCCUGGUGUAGCGGUGACAUGCAUUGAUAUCAGGAGGAAUACCCAUGGCGAAGGCAGCUUACUGGGCAUUAUCUGACGCUGAGGCGCGAAAGCGUGGGGAGCAAACAGGAUUAGAUACCCUGGUAGUCCACGCCCUAAACGAUGGAUACUAGGCGUAAGAGGUAUCGACCCCUCUUGUGCCGUCGCUAACGCAUUAAGUAUCCCGCCUGGGGAGUACGGCCGCAAGGUUG
rnacentral:rRNA from 1 species